CACUGGUCCAUCAAGAUGGAUUCACAGACCCAGUUUUUCAUAUUCCUGAUCCUCUGGAUGUCUGGUGCUGAAGGGAACAUUGUGAUGACCCAGUCUCCUGAAUUCAUGUCCACAUCUGUAGGAGAGAGGAUCUCCCUAAGCUGCAAGUCCAGUCAGAAUGUGGGUACUGCUAUAGCUUGGUACCAACAGAAAUCGGGGCAGCCUCCUAAAUUGCUAAUCUACUCUGCAUCAUCUCGAUACACUGGGGUCCCUGAUCGCUUCACAGGCAGUGGAUCUGGGACAGAUUUCACUCUCAGCAUCAGCAGUGUGCAGGCUGAAGACCUGGCAGUUUAUUACUGUCAGCAGGGUUACAGCUAUCCUCCCACAGUGCUUCAAUGUCACAGGUUGUUUGAGGAAGAGGAUGAUUAG